UGUCCCUUCGGUACAUCCAUUAAAUUGAAAGAAUACAGAGAAAAAUCAGCACGAUCCCUGCGCAAGAAUGACAAACAUAUAUCAAAAAGUAACUUGGUUUUA